CUCAGUCUCUGGCUCUCCGUCCAUCAAAAUCCGUCCAUGAAAUCAGUCCGAUCAGCUAUGGUCUUUAAGCCGAUUCAGAUUCGUCCACUCUCAUGGAAGAAGAAACCGAAUCGAUCCCGUAAGAAGAAGGAGAUGAAGAAGAAGAAUGGUUAUGAUGAUAUCAAGGAGGGAUUUGACCAUUGAACCAUCCAAGGAUAGGAAAUUGGCGAAGAAGAUGAAGAAGGUGAGGAGGAAGAAGAUGAUGAUGCUGAUGGGACAUCGACAAGCAGAAUGUCUACUGGGAGGAAGGACAAAGAUCCAGCUCCGGUUAAAGAACUUGUGAAGAGAGCAGCAGCUAUCAAAAUUAAUGAUGAAUUUCAUUGUCCCAAACAAACAUUUGUCAGGAUGCUGGGACAUAUAUGUUUGAAUUGAUGCCACGGGGGCAGGAAGCAUUGCCCAUUUUGAUAAACCACUCUUGCGAAGUAUCUAAAGCUAUAUAUGUUGUUUUUCACAUUAACCAAUAAAUAGAAAUAGUGUUUAAAUACUGGUUACUUAGAAUACACUUAUCACUGCGUCUCCUACUCCCGUUAUCCAGUUAUUCAUGUUUAUCCUGUUACAUAUGCUUACAUCACCUAACAAAUUCUCAUUUUAUAAGAAUAUUUAUAGGCAUGUAUUGGUGAGAUGUGAUUUACUUGAUCCUUUGGAGUUUCUGUUGUGAUCCCAGAGCCGCCAAAUUGUUAUUCAAGAGGGAUAAGUGUGCAUGGUGGUGAGCAUGCUAUUGUGGUUGCCCAAGAUGUCGCGGUGUUGUAAAUGAUGUUGACUCGAAGGAGCAAGUUGCAAAGCUGUAUGUACCUCGAAGCAAGUUGAUUGAUUGGGCUGAAGAUUGUGAAAUUCAAUUCACAGCCAUCCUCUAGUAAGCAGAAAAGCUCUAUCCGAGAUGCAAGGGAAUCUAAAAAGAACCAGAAAGAAUUUUUAACCUUACGAAUGUCGUCCUGAUUUUCUUACCGGAGAUGAUCAUAAACAUCUUAUGAUUGCAUUGGAUUGCGGUAGGAUCGCUACAUCCUUACCACCCGGAAGGGCUAAACUUUUACUAUCCUCCUGGUCUAAACAGACACAUGUCAUCAUCCUUGCAGAUGAAAUUGGUCCUGGUAAAAUUAUGCACGCCUGGCCUCCCCACGGAAGUGUGGUAUGUAUUAUGGAAACUUAUCAAAACACUUAGAUGUGCUUAUAGGUAAUGAAACUCCUCAUCCAUUGUCCUGGUCAGCCAUACAGUGUGAGUACCUUCACAGUAUAUCUUUUUUUUUUUUUUUUGGUAAGAAUCAAUUUGGAGUUUCAGUGUACCAGCAAUGUUAGUCAGGUGUAAACAUUAAGCUGUCUAUGCUGCAAGUGUGUAUCCUUAGGUAUCUCACAUUAUAAGUACACUACGUCAAUU